UACGGGAGGCAGCAGUGGGGAAUAUUGCACAAUGGGCGCAAGCCUGAUGCAGCCAUGCCGCGUGUAUGAAGAAGGCCUUCGGGUUGUAAAGUACUUUCAGUCGUGAGGAAGGUGUUAAGGUUAAUAACCUUAGCAAUUGACGCUAGCGACAGAAGAAAGCACCGGCUAACUCCGUGCCAGCAGCCGCGGUAAUACGGAGGGUGCGAGCGUUAAUCGGAAUUACUGGGCGUAAAGGGCACGCAGGCGGUUAAUUAAGUUGGAUGUGAAAUCCCCGGGCUUAACCUGGGAAUGGCAUUCAAGACUGGUUAGCUAGAGUCUUGUAGAGGGGGGUAGGAAUUCCAUGUGUAGCGGUGAAAUGCGUAGAGAUGUGGAGGAAUAACCGGUGGGCGAAAGGCGGCCCCCUGGGACAAAAGACUGACGCUCAUGUGCGAAAGCGUGGGGAGCAAAACAGGGAUUAGAUACC
rnacentral:rRNA from 1 species